UUAAAUGGCCGCGGUAUUUUAACCGUGCUAAGGUAGCAUAAUAAUUAGUUUCUUAAUUAGAAGCUGGAAUGAAGGGUUGAAUGAAAAAAUAACUGUCUCUAUAUUAAUAAUUUAGAAAUUUAUUUUUAAGUUAAAAAGCUUAAAUAUUUUUAAAAGACGAGAAGACCCUAUAGAGUUUAAUAUUUUAUUUUUAAUUAAUUAUUUAGUAUUUUUUAUUAUUAAUUUUAAAGUAUUUAAUUGGGGUGAUUAAAAAAUUUAAUUAACUUUUUUUUAAUUUUAAUAUUUAUAAAUAAAUUUAUGAUCCAAUAUAAUUGAUUAAAAGAUAAAUUACCUUAGGGAUAACAGCGUAAUUUUAUUUUAAAGUU
rnacentral:rRNA from 1 species